GAGUUUGAUCUUGGCUCAGAUUGAACGCUGGCGGCAUGCCUUACACAUGCAAGUCGAACGGCAGCACGGGAGCUUGCUCCUGGUGGCGAGUGGCGAACGGGUGAGUAAUGCAUCGGAACGUAUCCUGGAGUGGGGGAUAACGUAGCGAAAGUUACGCUAAUACCGCAUAUUCUGUGAGCAGGAAAGCGGGGGACCUUCGGGCCUCGCGCUCUUGGAGCGGCCGAUGUCGGAUUAGCUAGUUGGUGAGGUAAAGGCUCACCAAGGCGACGAUCCGUAGCAGGUCUGAGAGGAUGAUCUGCCACACUGGAACUGAGACACGGUCCAGACUCCUACGGGGGGCAGCAGUGGGGAAUUUUGGACGAUGGGGGCAACCCUGAUCCAGCCAUGCCGCGUGAGUGAAGAAGGCCU
rnacentral:rRNA from 1 species